AUAGUAGAGAGAGAGAGAGAGAGAGAGGGGGUACAUGAUAUUAUCUAUCAUCAUUUCUUCUAGCAGACAAGGAAUUGGAGUGAGUCAAUAAACUUGUUUUUUCCUAAUUAAAAGAAGUGAUUGAUUACUCCGAGAAAGGAAAGAGGAGAGAUGAUCAUAUAUAUAUAAGAGCUGAGGGCGAAUGCCCUUGGGAGUGUAUAGAUGUCAUCUGGACAAGGAGACUGGAUAACAUAAGAGUGUGCAAGUCAAGCUGUGGAACAGCAAUACGGCAUCAAAGCUGAGGAAUCUCCACUAGCUGAAAGCAAUUGGUUGAAUACUGGCAUACGGUUCAACAUUCAUGGCAAAAUCUAUCAUCAGCUUUUUGAAGCUUGUGGCGAGUUUGUUACGAAGUCAGAUCGAUCUUUUUAUAUUUUCUUAAAUAUUGCUGUAUGGAAAAGUACGGGUGUUACUGAAAUGAAUAAGGAUGGUCUGGACACCU